rnacentral:rRNA from 1 species
GACGAACGCUGGCGGCGUGCUUAACACAUGCAAGCCGAACGGAAAGGCCCUGCUUUUGUGGGGUGCUCGAGUGGCGCACGUGUGAGUCACACGAGAGUAACCUGCCUUUGAUGUUGGGAUAACGUCAGGAAACUUGGGCUAAUACCGGUAAGGAGCUCCUGCUGCAUGGUGUGGGGUGGAAAGUUUCGGCGGUUGGGGAUGUACUCGCGGCUUAUCUGCUUGGUGGUGGGGUAGUGGCUUACCAAGGCUUUGACGGGUAGCCGGCCUGAGAGGUUGACCGGCCACAUUGGGACUGAGAUACGGCCCAGACUCCUACGGGAGGCAGCAGUGGGGAAUAUUGCACAAUGGGCGGAAGCCUGAUGCAGCAACGCCGCGUGCGGGAUGACGGCCUUCGGGUUGUAAACCGCUUUCGCCUGUGACGAAGCGUGAGUGACGGUAAUGGGUAAAGAAGCACCGGCUAACUACGUG